ACCUGUGACGGGCCGAGAAUGGAA
rnacentral:miRNA from 2 species